rnacentral:rRNA from 1 species
AUUGAACGCUGGCGGCAGGCCUAACACAUGCAAGUCGAACGAGUGGCGGACGGGUGAGUAAUGUCUGGGAAACUGCCUGGUGGAGGGGGAUAACUACUGGAAACGGUAGCUAAUACCGCAUACCAUCAGAUGUGCCCAGAUGGGAUUAGCUUGUUGGUGGGGUAACGGCUCACCAAGGCGACGAUCCCUAGCUGGUCUGAGAGGAUGACCAGCCACACGUGGAAUGAGAAACGGUCCAGACUCCUACGGGAGGCAGCAGGGGGGAAUAUUGGCAAAGUGGGGCAAGCCUGAUGGAGCCAUGCCGCGUGUAUUGAGAAGGCCUUCGGGUUGGAAAGUACUUUCAGCGGGGAGGCGUUACCCGCAGAAGAAGCACCGGCUAACUCCGUGCCAGCAGCCGCGGUAAUAC